GACGAACGCUGGCGGCGUGCCUAACACAUGCAAGUCGAGCGGAAAGACCAGGAGGGGUCCACGCUGGGCUUAGGGGUGGGUGGGAGGGGAAUGAGCGGACAACCACUCCGUAAGAAGGGGGGGAAACUGGGACAAAGGCCGUAAAUGACGACAAAAUGUUUGAUGGCAGGGUGAAAGAGUGAAAGGUGGAUUUUGUGCCCGCUCCGCAUGAGCUAGGUGGUAAGGUAACGGCUUACCAAGGCAACGAUUAGUAGCCGACCUGAGAGGGUGAUCGGCCACACUGGAACUGAGACACGGUCCAGACUCCUACGGGAGGCAGCAGUAGGGAAUCUUCCGCAAUGGGCGAAAGCCUGACGGAGCAACGCCGCGUGAGUGAUGAAGGUCUUCGGAUCGUAAAACUCUGUUAUUAGGGAAGAACAAAUGUGUAAGUAACUAUGCACGUCUUGACGGUACCUAAUCAGAAAGCCACGGCUAACUACGUG
rnacentral:rRNA from 1 species